rnacentral:rRNA from 1 species
GACGAACGCUGGCGGCGUGCCUAAUACAUGCAAGUCGAGCGAAUCACUGGGAGCUUGCUCCCGGUGGUUAGCGGCGGACGGGUGAGUAACACGUGGGCAACCUGCCUGUAAGACUGGGAUAACACCGGGAAACCGGUGCUAAUACCGGAUAAUCCUUUCCUGCACAUGCAGGAAAGCUGAAAGUCGGUUUCGGCUGACACUUACAGAUGGGCCCGCGGCGCAUUAGCUAGUUGGUGAGGUAACGGCUCACCAAGGCGACGAUGCGUAGCCGACCUGAGAGGGUGAUCGGCCACACUGGGACUGAGACACGGCCCAGACUCCUACGGGAGGCAGCAGUAGGGAAUCUUCCACAAUGGACGAAAGUCUGAUGGAGCAACGCCGCGUGAGCGAUGAAGGCCUUCGGGUCGUAAAGCUCUGUUGUUAGGGAAGAACAAGUACCGGAGUAACUGCCGGUACCUUGACGGUACCUAACCAGAAAGCCACGGCUAACUACGUGCCAGCAGCCGCUGUAACAC